rnacentral:tRNA from 3 species
GGGUCGUUAGCUCAGUUGGUAGAGCAGUUGACUUUUAAUCAAUUGUCGCAGGUUCGAAUCCUGCACGACCCACCA